rnacentral:rRNA from 1 species
UACAGAGGUCCCGAGCGUUGUUCGGAUUCAUUGGGCGUAAAGGGUGCGUAGGCGGUCUGCUAAGUUUGGUGUGAAAUCCCGGGGCUCAACCCUGGAAUGCAUUGAAUACUGGUGGACUAGAGUACUGGAGAGGAAACUGGAAUUACGGUGUAGCAGUGAAAUGCGUAGAGAUCGUAAGGAAGACCGUGGCGAAGCGAGUUCUGGACAGUAACUGACGGCUGAGGCAACGAAGGCCAGGGGAGCAAACGGG